GCUAAAAUCAAUGAAAUAGAAACAACAACAAAACCAGUACAAAAAUCACAAAAUGAAGAACUGUUUUUUUUAGAACAUCAAUAAGUUUGACAAGCCUUCAGUGAGAUUAACCAAAGGACAGAGAAGACCCAAAUUAAUAAAGUUAGAGAUGAAUAAGGAAACAUUACAAGAGACUCCAAGGGAAUUCAGAGAAUUAUGGUGAUAUAUUUUAAAGAUCAAAGUGGAGACCUAAAAUAAAAAUCCUUAUAUAUACACUCUACCAAAGUUAAAUCAUGAGGAAAUAAAUGAUUUAAACAGACCCAUAAUCACCAGUAAAGCAGCAGUAAUUAAAAAUCUCCCAACCAAAGAAAAAGCCCAAGUCCAGAUGGCAGUGCAUAAUUCUAUGAAAUUAUUGUGCAGAAUAGAAACUGAAGGAAAAUUUCAUAAAUAUUUUUAUGGAACUACUAUUACUCUCAUACCAAAAUUACACAGACACCAGACAAAAGAAAAAAUUUAGACCAAUAACCCUUAUGAGCAUAGAUGCCAAAUUUCUCAGUAAAAUACUUUCAAACUGCAUCCAAAACACAUCAAAAAGAUUCUCCACUAGGAUUAAAUCAACAGUCCCAGAAAUGCAAGCAUGGUUCAUCAUGCAUAAAUCAAAAUUAUCUACCACAUAAACAGACUAAUAGACAAAAUUACAUGAUCAGCUCAUUAGAUGCACAAAAGGGUUUGACAAAAUCCAACAUCCCUUUAUGAUUAAAAGUCCUGGAGAGACUGGGAAUAUAAGGAACAUACUUCCACAUUAUAAAGACAAUUUUCAGCAAGCUCACAGACUGAGUCAUCCUAAACAGAAAAUGAAAGCAUUUCCACUAAAAUCAGGAACCAGACAAGGAUGCCCACUCUCUCCAUACCUAUUUAAUGUAAUACUUGAAAUCUUAGCUAGAGCCGUAAGACAACUGAAAGACAUCAAGUGGAUACAAAUAGUAAAGUAAGAAAUCAAAGUAUCUUUAUUUGCAGAUGAUAUGAUUUUAUACAUUAAAUAUUCCACCAGAAAACUUCUAGAACACUAAACAGUUUCAGCAAAGUAGCAGAACUCAAAAUUAACAUACAAAAAUCAGGAGCUUUCCUCUUUACAAAUGACAAGGAU
rnacentral:lncRNA from 1 species